rnacentral:rRNA from 1 species
GAUGAACGCUGGCGGCGUGCCUAAUACAUGCAAGUCGAGCGAACGGACGAGAAGCUUGCUUCUCUGAUGGUAGCGGCGGACGGGUGAGUAACACGUGGAUAACCUACCUAUAAGACUGGGAUAACUUCGGGAAACCGGAGCUAAUACCGGAUAAUAUUUUGAACCGCAUGGUUCAAAAGUGAAAGACGGUCUUGCUGUCACUUAUAGAUGGAUCCGCGCUGCAUUAGCUAGUUGGUAAGGUAACGCCUUACCAAGGCAACGAUGCAUAGCCGACCUGAGAGGAUGAUCGGCCACACUGGAACUGAGACACGGUCCAGACUCCUACGGGAGGCAGCAGUAGGGAAUAUUCCGCAAUGGGCGAAAGCCUGACGGAGCAACGCCGCGUGAGUGAUGAAGGUCUUCGGAUCGUAAAGCUCUGUUAUUAGGGAAGAACAUCUGUGUAAGUAACUGUGCACAUCUUGACGGUACCUAAUCAGAAAGCAACGGCUAACUACGUG